rnacentral:rRNA from 1 species
UCAGAGUUAACGCCGGCUGUGUGCCUAAUAAUGCAAGUCGAACGAUGAAGCUUCUAGCUUGCUAGAAUGCUGAUUAGUGGCGCACGGGUGAGUAACGCAUAUGUCAUGUGCCUCUUAGUUUGGGAUAGCCAUUGGAAACGAUGAUUAAUACAGAUACUCCCUACGGGGGAAAGAUGUAUCGCUAAGAGAUCAGCCUAUGUCCUAUCGGCUUGUUGGUAAGGUAUACGCUUACCAAGGCUAUGACCGCUAUCCGGCCUGAGAGGGUGAACGGACACACUGGAACUGAGACCCGGCUCAGACUCCUACGGGAGGCAGCAGUAGGGAAUAUUGCUCAAUGGGGGAAACCCUGAUGCAGCAACGCUCGUGCAGGAUGAAGGAUGAUUGUAAACUCCUUCCGUUAGAGAAGAUAAUGACGGUACUUAACGAAUAAGCACCGGCUAACUCCGUGCCAGCAGCCGCGGUAAUACGGAGGGUGCAAGCGCCACUCGGAAUCACUGGCCGUAAGAGCGCGUAGGUGGGAUAGUCAGUCAGGUCGCAAAUCCUAUGGGUUAACCAUAGAACUGCAUUUCUACUACCCUUGGAUCUACGUACUGCAUGACUGGUGUUAACGGUCUCUAGAGUGUGGGAGGUAGGUGGAAUUCUUGGUGUAGGGGUAAAAUCCUUAGAGAUCAAGAGGAAUACUCAUUGCGAAGGCGACCUGCUGGAACAUUACUGACGCUGAUUGCGCGAAAUCGUGGGGACGAAACAGGAUUACAUACCCUGGUAGUCCACGGGGUAGACGAUGGAUGCUAGUUGUUGGAGGGCUUAGUCUCUCCAGUAAUGCAGCUAACGCAUUCCGCAUCCCGCCUGGGGAGUACGGUCGCAAGAUUAAUACUCAAAGGAAUAGACGGGNACCCGCACAAGCGGUGGAGCAUGUGGUUUAAUUCGAAGAUACACGAAGAACCUUCCCUAGGCUUGACAUUGAGAGAAUCCGCUAGAAAUAGUGGGGUGUCUGGCUUGCCAGACCUUGAUACCAGGUGCUGCACGGCUGUCGUCAGCUCGUGUCGUGAGAUGUUGGGUUAAGUCCCGCAACGAGCGCAACCCCCUAACUUAGUGGCUAACAGGUCAUGCUGAGAACUCUAAGGAUACUGCCUCCGUAAGGAGGAGGAAGGUGGGGACGACGUCAAGUCAUCAUGGGGGUUACGGCUAGGGCUACAACCGUGCUCAAAUGGGGUGCACAAGGAGAAGCAACCCUGCGAAGUGGAGCCAAUCUUCAGAACACGUCUCAGGUCGGAUUGUAGGC